AAACAAAUAGAAUUCUGUUGCUUGACUUGCCAGAGUCACUUGUUUGAUAUGUGAUAUCGAAAUGUAUUCGUGUUGAAUUUCGUUUGUUAUAACAAAAAUGCUGAACCACACCAACCAGCAUUAACGAACUGAGGCCGAAGAGUUUGUUCUAGGACAGAUCACCAAGAAAUUCAAAGGAUUGCAGCCGGAAAACGUGAUUGGUUCGGUGCUGAUGCCUACCAAUAACAGGAAGCCGCCAUGAAGUACGUACGUCGCAAAGGAUAUUCCGAGGAACCGAUACUGAGGAUUCGU